UCCGGUACCACAGAUGUAUGAUACAUAGGUCCCUUUCCCGAAUAAUACUCUGUUCUUUCCCGGAGUACGGGAGUCCAUGGGGAAUAACAUACAGUCUUGGAAUGCCACAUAAGCAUCCAGUGUAAAUACAUAAACAAUCAUCUGCAAACUAACAGCCAGUUAUAAUAAACAACAUGCUGAAAACAUGGGCAGAGAGGACUAAGGAGGCCCAUGGCCUUCCUAAAAUGGAGGCUUUCAAUUUGGAUUUGAAGACAGAGCCAAGAUUAAACCCUUAGCCUGGAAUGGCUUUUUGCAGUCUUCUCUGGGGCUGGAAGCCAGACCCAGUGUCUGGUGCACUGAAGCUUUUCCAGACACAAGGAGCUAAGAAGAAGCAUCAAGGGGAACACUCCAUAAGGCCACACAGUCCACCUGGACCACACUCCUAGAACCGCAAGGAGGAACUAAUCAAGAUGAAUGACAGUGGCUGAUGCAGACUUACACUUCACGCUGAAAAACCUAAAAGUUCAAAGUGUCUCCUAAUGGAGUAUGUGAACAUCUGGGCUUUACUGAUGCUCAGGUGAGUCCAUUCAGGACAGGUAAAAGCAGAAUCAGUGAUUUUCUUCGUGACAGCCUGUGUUUGUGACGGUUUCUGCUUUGACAAAAAAUCACCUGGACUCCAAUCAGCUGCAAAGUGAGAGAGCUGUGGCCAUGCAUAUCCCGCCAGAGCCCUGGUGGACUUCAGCCACUUUAUGGCAAUUGGGUUACUGGAAAGUCGAUUUCUUGCAGUGAGUAAAUUCAUGUCAUCAUGCAGAGGAAACUCUGGGGAGGUCUUUUGUCACAUCAUUACCCUCUGAUUUAUCAUCCAGGUAAAUAUGGAUUUUUCCAUUCUUACUCGUGUGUGUAAAUCACUAUAAAGAAACUUCUCAUUCAUACAUCUGUGAGCCAACGAAACUUCCUAAUAAUAUUGUAAAACAAACCAGAAGAUCUCAAUGUUUAAUCAAAGGAAAAACACAUGUGUUAACACAUCAAUCAUGUCUGGCUUUAAUGGUCCCCCCACAAUGACCUUAGAAUUACUUUUGAGGACCACUAAUACCCACCUCACAUGCCUGCUGAAAACACAGAAUCUAGGGCAGCAUCCUGCACACACACACACACACACACACACACACACACACACACACACACACACACACACAGCUGUUUGGUUUUAAGGAGGCCCUGAGAACUCUAAUGCUUUCUAUGGUGGCAGGGUGUGCUGGGGCCUCUGACAAAGCCUGGCUCCCAUGGACACUGGACCAUGCUGGCUUUAUCACUUCAUCCUUCUGCCUCCUGCCCACAGCAGUUACCAAAGGAAAGAAUGGUUCCUCCACUCCCAAAGAAGCCUGGAAUGGUCACUAAGAGUUGCGCUGGCCUUUGGGAAGGAGCUUGUGGCAUUUCCCAUCUGGCUGGGUUCCCAACCGACUCUCUGCUACAAAGAGGGAACCCUCUCUGCUGCGUGUUCUGAUGUACAAGCUCUGCAUGAAGUUCCUUGUAGCUCUCACGGAGUUCUAAGAAGUUUCCUUGGGGGAGGGGGAACAAAUCCCUAUUCUAGGUCCUGUUAAGACUGAUUUAAAUAAACACA